GACUAGGUAUAAAAGACGGUCUGUUUUGAUUAAAGGAAGUUUAAGCUUUCUUACGGUUCGAAGGCUAUCAAAAGACGUAUUUAAACUAGGUAAGAGAUUUUUUAAUUUAUGACUUGGAUCUUGUUCAAUUUGUUCAAAAAGCUUUAUACAUGAAUAUUUUCGUCUGUCAUAAAGUGACUGUAAAUGUCCCUGUUCCAAGGCUUCCUUAUACCUCGUUCCAGGAAAAAUUAUCCUCAUUGCACGUCUUUGUACUCGUUCUAAAUCGUCGGACAGAUAUGUAGGAAGACUUGAAUGAAAAACUUCACAAGCAUAUUGCAGAAUCGACCUGAUACACGCAUUAGUAACUUCUAGUAGAACCAAUUAGAUGUUUCUCAUCAACA